rnacentral:rRNA from 1 species
GACGAACGCUGGCGGCGUGCCUAAUACAUGCAAGUAGGACGCAGUUGCGAACGGGUGAGUAACGCGUAGGUAACUACCUAUUAGAGGGGGAUAACUAUUGGAAACGAUAGCUAAUACCGCAUACUAGUAGAUGGACCUGCGUUGUAUUAGCUGGUAGGUAGGGCAAUGGCCUACCUAGGCAACGAUACAUAGCCGACCUGGGAGGUUGGUUGGCCAGACUGGGACAGAGACACGGCCCAGACGCCCACAGGAGGCAGCAGUAGGUAAUCUUCGGCAAUGGGGGGAACCCUGAGCGAGCAACGCCGCGUGAGUGAAGAAGAUUUUCGGGUCGGAAAGGUCUGUUGUUAAGGAAGCGGUACUUAACCAGAAAGGAACGGCUAACUACGUGCCAGCAGCCGCGGUAAUAC